rnacentral:rRNA from 1 species
AGUGAACGCUGGCGGUAGGCCUAACACAUGCAAGUCGAACGGCAGCACAGUAAGAGCUUGCUCUUACGGGUGGCGAGUGGCGGACGGGUGAGGAAUACAUCGGAAUCUACUUUUUCGUGGGGGAUAACGUAGGGAAACUUACGCUAAUACCGCAUACGACCUACGGGUGAAAGCAGGGGAUCUUCGGACCUUGCGCGAUUGAAUGAGCCGAUGUCGGAUUAGCUAGUUGGCGGGGUAAAGGCCCACCAAGGCGACGAUCCGUAGCUGGUCUGAGAGGAUGAUAAGCCACACUGGAACUGAGACACGGUCCAGACUCCUACGGGAGGCAGCAGUGGGGAAUAUUGGACAAUGAGCGCAAGCCUGAUCCAGCCAUACCGCGUGGGUGAAGAAGGCCUUCGGGUUGUAAAGCCCUUUUGUUGGGAAAGAAAAGCAGCAGGUUAAUACCCCGCUGUUCUGACGGUACCCAAAGAAUAAGCACCGGCUAACUUCGUG